rnacentral:rRNA from 1 species
GUCUACAGCCAUGCCACCCUGAACAAGCCCAAUAUCUGAUCUCGGAAGCUAAGCAGGGUCAGGCCUGGUUAGUACUUGGAUAGGAGACCACCUAGGAAGACCAGGUGCUGUAGUCA